GGGCUGGAUAUAAACUAUAAUGGUGUCAUCCUCAGAGGAGCUGUAGUGUUAGCUAGCUUAGUUAGCUCAGUUGGCUAUCAACCAUGAGUAGAUGCAAGCUUCCUUCUGCAUGGUGAUCCUGAAAAAGAUUACACUACAUCAAACUGCUCACAACAAGGACCACAAGUGAAGUGCAAGAGAAAGCAGACAUCUCUGCAGUCUAGAUGGACAAACAGUACUACAGUUAAUCUUUCAAGCGGUUACUCCAGAUCAAACAGCGAUGUUUGCUCGUCUGUACCCCGUGAGAAGUGAUCCAAGUAUCCUGCUGUUGCGCAGC